AGUCGAGCAUCUCCAAUGGGC
rnacentral:miRNA from 1 species